rnacentral:ncRNA from 1 species
GACCUGAAAGAUGGUGAACUAUGCUUGGGCAGGGUGAAGCCAGAGGAAACUCUUGUGGGGGUCCGUAGCGGUCCUGACCUGCAAGUCGGUAAUCUGACCUGGCUAUAGGGGUGAAAGACUAAUUGAACCAUCUAGUAGCUGG